GGAAGUGAAUCGCACAUCAGUCACUGAACCUUUAAAUCUGAAAACCUUUAUUUUUUAUAGAUUUAAAGGAUUGUAUAGAAUUACUGUACAAUAUAAAAUGUUAACUUUGUAAAACUUAUUAAGGUAAUAACACGAAAACUUCCCCAGUGUCAGAAAGAUUCCUCUUCGUGUGUUCGAGGCGGAGAGGACUCCAUCUGUGAUUAGUAGGUCACAGCGAAGUCCACAAGCCUCUUUGUGCCAGAUCAUAUUCUGAGAAAGACUGUGUGAAAGAGAGCGAGAGAGAGCACUCGAAAGAGAGAAAGUAUGACGUCAAAAAAAGUGUGAGUGUGAAGAAAGCCCAGCGAGGGAAGCAUUUAUGGCAGUGAAUGCCAAAGACCAUAAAAACAAGGGGAAGCAACUCACAGGUGGCACCCAAAUCUAUCGUUGUCAUCAUGGUGGAAAGUGCCAAGAGGCCGACCGCCCAGUGCCUACACCAAUGAGGGGGAGCAGGAGGGGGCAGUUACCCAAGCUUCCCAGUUCAUUUUUAAGUGGAACGGUGGGAUUUCUGCUCGUCACAGUCUGCGAAUGCAAAUAUCCUCAAGAGAACAACAUCAGUGGGUCAGCACAUCAGUCAGGAUCAGACUGUUUACCUGAAGGAGGCAUCCACACUGAAUAAUCAGGGUCAUCGUCUGGAUACUCUCCUGAGAGCUGCACUGGAGGCUGUGGAGACAAACCAUGAGGAGAUUCAGUUCAGAUCUGCUGCCACCCAGUGGCAAUAUGAGACAGCUUCUUACCUUUCAGCUCAUUGGACUGAGCUGGUUUCUCUCUUUGCUGCCUUGAAGAAGAGCUCUCACGAGACAUGGAGGGACUGGACUCCUCAGACUCGUCAUUAGAUUCUGAGAUACUUUUACACUGUUCAUUAUCAUUGUCCUCAUUUUUUACUGCUCCCUCCACUUCUUCCUCUUCCUCCUCUUCUCCAGUGGGUGCAAGUUCCUUCAUGUUGAAGAGCUCCACAGAUUUCCAGUGUGAACCUGAACAACCCAGCAGACAGAUGACUGUGGUUCUGUGUCUAACCUCGGCAGCAGGGAUGGCAUCUGAGCCGGCCGCGUGAGUUCGACCAGUUUGCGGAGUCGCUGGGCAUCUUUGCGCAAGUCUGCUACGUGAACGUGAAGCUUCCUGCGCUCCACGGCGUCCAUCGCUGUCUCAGUUCUCACGGCGGUCAUAAAGGCAUCUAGCGUGUCGCCCGUGGAAGAGCCAGAAGAGUCUAAGAGGACGGAAGAAAUGCACAAUCACGCGAGGAGAACAUACAUCAGUAGGGGCUGUUGCACAUGGCGCAGAAGACUGGAAACACACUGGAUUGUGACUCACCUCCUCUUCCAGCAUUGAGCUUUUUCUGAGUGUCUUCCAACUCCUUCUCAACCCCUGACAGUUUGACCACCUACAUUACAAUCAAACAUACAGUAUAGUGAACAUUACUACAUUAUAUAACAGGUGCAGAUUAUAACAGUUGUUGGUUCUAAACCCUGGUUCUAUCACUUUUAGUACAACUCCCCCAACCUAACACAGAGCACCUUCAUUACUCAUUUUAAGUUACCACAGUUUUAAUGUAGUUUGUAGCUACAAUACAAAGUUUUGACAAGAGUCUUCUUAUCUCCAUCCGUUUGGUGUGUUUUAGAGUGUUUUUUGUGUUACACAUUCCUUCUUGUUGUAUACAUAUAUGACACUAUUUCAUUUCCUGCUCAGCUUGACUAAGACUCGCUGGCAGAAGAGAUCUUGUAUCUCAAUGAGACUUUCCUGAUUAAAUAAAUGAUUAAUAAAUAAAAAUAUAAGAGGCGACACACCCACCUGGUGUUGAUUUAUUCAGUUUGUAGUGGUAAAUAUAUUUUAUAAAGAAUUAAAAGAGCAGACUAGGUUUGGUGUCUGGUUCAUGUCAUGGACCUGAAUCAGAGUGUCAGGCAGAUGGACAACCCAAUAGCUGAAUAGUCAGGGCACAAACCACAUUGCAUAUGCUCUGAGCAGCAGGUCACAAGUUUCUCUCCCAGCUGACCAGACGUUUUACUGCAUAUAUUCCUUUUUGACGCCGUUUCUUGUCUCUCCAUCAUUGUUUCUAUCAAAUAAA